rnacentral:rRNA from 1 species
CGAAGGGGGCUAGCGUUGUUCGGAAUUACUGGGCGUAAAGCGCGCGUAGGCGGCGCAGCAAGUCAGGGGUGAAAUCCCGGAGCUUAACUCCGGAACUGCCUUUGAAACUGCUGUGCUGGAAUCUCAGAGGGGAUAGCGGAAUUCCAAAUGUAGGGGUGAAAUCCGUAGAUAUUUGGAGGAACACCGGUGGCGAAGGCGGCUAUCUGGAUGAGUAUUGACGCUGAGGCGCGAAAGCGUGGGGAUCAAACAGGAUUAGAUACCCUGGUAGUCCACGCUGUAAACGAUGAAUGCUAGUUGGUUGGGGGUUCCCUCUCAGUGACGUCGCUAACGCAUUAAGCAUUCCGCCUGGGGAGUACGGCCGCAAGGUUA